UACAGAGGUCCCAAGCGUUGUUCGAAUUCACUGGGCGUAAAGGGUGCGUAGGUGGUUGCGCAAGUCUGAUGUGAAAUCUCCGGGCUCAACCCGGAAAUGGCAUUGGAAACUGCGUGGCUAGAGGGUUGGAGGGGGGACUGGAAUACUUGGUGUAGCAGUGAAAUGCGUAGAUAUCAAGUGGAACACCAGUGGCGAAGGCGAGUCCCUGGACAACACCUGACACUGAGGCACGAAAGCUAGGGGAGCAAACAGG
rnacentral:rRNA from 1 species